GGCGGAGGGAGCCGAUUGGCUCUACCCUUAAAAAAGCUAUUUUGGACACCCCUUUCCCAGCAAAUGCCCCUUCAGUUGGAGGUGGGGAAGAAUUCAGAUUCAGCCUAAAAUUUCAGCUUAUGGCAGCGUUGUGGUGGAGAGCGAGCACAAACAAAGCCAUGCAGAUUUUACUGAUGGAGGCUGAGGAUGAGGAGGAGAGGGGCUCCCGUGAGCCGAAUGAAGCACCGUUCAACCCGCGGACCGACACUGAGGAGAGCAGACGCAAGGUGAGAUUUUACCAAACUGCAGAAAAAACGUUUCUCCUGCUUCAGGAUGUGAUGAGGAGCCAACAUUCAGCAUUCAGCUCACUUCCUCACACCGUACAGCAUUGGGGGGUUGGAGUGGGGUGGGGGGGUUGAAAACAGCAGAGAAAUGUUUACAGCAGAGGAAGGGUUUGGAAGAGAAGAGAAAUUCAAUUCAAAUCAAACUUUAUCUAUGGGAGACCUUUCCUAUGACGAAUAGAUGAAUAAAUAAGCAAACCUAAUAAACAAAUACAAAGAAAAAAAAA